AUAGGGACAUAUAUAUGUAUCCAUUUAACGCAAUAUAGAAGGGAUGCAGCGAGUAUUAUCAGAUUUUAAGGUAACUUUUCAGACUUUUUACGUAGCUACCUCGUAAGAGCCAAAAUCUCGACAGGACAGGGCGAUGUCCGGAAACAAGACCAUGUGGUAUGUCAUGCGGCAUGCUCUUGCAUGCAACGAGGACAAAUCAGGAGGCUUUCCGGGUUCAUGGAUUGACAGCUUUCUCCUCGGAAUCAUCGUGGUCGCCCAGCUUUUUAUUCCCCAUGUUGGACAUUGUCGAGAUCAUCAUGUCAAGGACUCGUGUGGUCAGUAUCUGACCAGCUAAAAGACUGUGAUCAUUAAAGGAUGGAGUGAGAAAAGCCAUAUGUAAUUAGAUACCUCACGAAAUCCAGUGAACAUGAAAUUCAUUUGCUUAUAAUCUGGUGAAUCUUGGAGAAUGGAGAUUCUCUCUUGGCCGGCCUACGGCCUGCGUGUUAUACCUUAGAGUAACCAGACUCUAAGGUUAUAUGGAACUUUGUCUUUGUGUGAAAGUGAAUGUGAAUGUGAACUUUAUCGUAGAACUGUUUCAAGCCUUCAACUAUCAUUUUGGCCCUGGCCGACUAGUCUGGGCAACAAGCUAGCUGUUCGUCCAUCAAGAUGCGUUUUCCCGACUUCCGUCUUCAAGCCAAUCCACAGGUUUUCAUCGAAGACGCAAUUUCACCACCUGUUUUCUGUCCGACUUCUACUACCUGCAAGAAGCUAAUUUAGUCUUCGUCGUGCUUUAUAUCUUGAACGUCAUAUUUUGCCAUGAGUAUGCUGUUGCUGACACUUUAGACCCAAAGGAAUGCAGGGUAGAUACCAAAAACUCGGAUAUUCGCAUCUCAGAUUUGACCUGAAAAAUCUAUCAAGUCUCAGCCUGUCUCACCCAACUGUGUCACCCCGAGACCCCGAGCUCCAAAACAUCAUCUGGGACAGAUUACUAACUGAUCACAUUUCAAAAUAGUUGUCUUCGUAAACGGUUGUGAUAAGAGUUCAGACUUCUGGAAGCGUUUGUUUUGUGAGAUGACAUUUCAGGCACUUCAGACUCCGGUGACAAUGACUUGAUUGUUUUAUAUCAUGAUGUGACCUCGAAAUAUUCAUCUUGGGAAUGGGCCCAUGGGUCUCCUCGAACUUUUCUGUGCCGUCACCGCAACCACUCCAACACUGAUAAAAUUUAAUUGUUCAGAUAUCAUUUUUCUGAACUACUGCAUGGCUUGGAUGUAUCUCGAGACCACUUCCUUUCGCAUGCCUAACAUCAAGCACCCAGCGUACACAUGUAGAUCUACACUGGGCAAACCAGAACUUUUGCCAUGGUGCCAACCAUUUCAACAUCAGGACCAAAUGUACGCAGCAUAAUAAUGGACCAUCGAUCUCUAUCAAAACGUGCUCUCAUGCAGUACGUUAUGUAGGGGCAAAUUCCCAGUCUGUAUCUCAACAUCUUAUGCUAUUGUCACAGAACAAAGCUUUGACCUCCGGCCGUGGACAAGCCGUAAGAAUAACCGUGAUAUUUAUAGUCCGUGUCCAUGGACUCGACUGCGAUAACAAAGGUUUUUGUCCCUUCCAAGAGGGAACAUUGCAACCAGGAGGUGAAAUGAUUUGCCCUUUAUAUCAUGAUCGUUGAAUGGUUUUUUGAAGCUUUAAUUGAAAACUAAUAUAAGUGCCGAACUGAAAUGUACAACGCUGUAAAUAGAACAGUAUCACACAGCAGGAAACUGUUACUUGAUUUAUAAGACUAUAAUUUUUGUAAUGGACAACCUUUCAACUCUUACGUAGGCCUACCUUUCCACUGGUAAAUUCAUUCAGUAAAGAACCAUAGAGCUUUCUGAUCUGAAAUAUCUCGGUACUUUAUGAUGUAACCACAGCAUACUACAGCAACAACUGGCAGUUCUUGUGUUACUACCAGCCUAAACCUCUUACCUUAAACCCUCCCCGCAAGCAACUCGGACUGUUUCAAGUAUCUUACCGAACCGUGUGGCUUUCACAUGGCUUCUGAUCUAUCAGAAAUAACCACUGGCGUAACAGGCUUACUAGAAGCCAGUAGUGUUACUUUCAGAGAAUCGAUACGGUACAGAACAUUCACACGGUUCUCGACCGGAAUUGUUGUUAUUUCUGACACUGGAUGUGACUUUCGCGUGAGAACGAAGCUGUUGUUGGCUUUCUGUGGAACCUUUAGCAUUUUCAGGUAGAAUGGUUUACGGAGAAAGUGCUUUGGCAAACUGUGCUUAAGUAUUUGAUCCUUGGCGAACUGUGUUGGUAGCAACACUUCUUAAAUGGUGUUUCUUUCGUAUACUGAGCGUAUUUCAAAAACAUGUCAGAUGUUGCUCGUCAUUUACGUCUCCCACUCCGACUCCAACUUGGAGCGUGAAUUACAGUCGUCAGGAUUCAACUGGACUGUCGUACGUUGCUCUUGACAUUCUUGACUGGGAGGGUUAACGUAUAAGGAUAUCCUAUACCCAUUUUCUUCUCAAUAGGCCCACCAAUCACCUAGAAAAAUGUAGAGUGCAACCAUGGAAGUCUAUUAAGGUCAACAAGGCUAAAUACCUCUUUUUUUUGCCUGACAUUGGUUCACAUCAAAUUAACAUGAAAUUCUGAAAUACUACAACAGUGACAAGACUGCGCUUCUCAUGUCAGUGUAUGUCCAUUGUGCAGAAAAAUUAAUACAAAUAGUAUUGGGUAUUUAUUUUCCGAGCCAACAUACAAACAAAUGUGUACUAGAGAAUGAGUUUAUACAGCUUUAGUCUGCUGUGUGCCACUUCGGACGUGGAAUGUGGUCUCCGCUGAUUUUCUCAUGGAGUCGCGCCAAAAUGUGUGAACUGCAGGUGAAGGUCGAGCCUGUUUACCCAUUGAGGAAAUUUGUAGAACUGUGACCAAAUGUCGGAUGACUUAUCAUAAAUGUGUAUGUGUCAAUUAAUUAGAAUGCAUAGUAUAAUAACGCCAAGCCAAAAUAUUUUCAUUUUUUACGCCCCUGCGAAUAGUCAGUGGGGCGUAUAACCCGGGCUAGGGCCUCAAAGAAGAUCAAAGAACCAUGGCUUCGAACUUUGCUACCAAUGUCAGUGAGGUACCAAAAUUGCAAUUUCAUACUCUGUUCCACACAGGAUUGAUUGUUGUAGAAGUAGAACAACAACAAAACGUGGACUAUUCGCUCUGUUGCAGUUCUAAUUAUAUCUCUCAAAGUUUUCAAAAUAUAUGGACCGUUCAAAUGUUUCUCGUAAAUCUUGAUCUUUGGGACCGAUGCAACUGGUUUCACUCGCAUGACUUCUCGGGGUGACUACAGAAAAACAAUGCCUUGUGUGGGUUGACAAACAUAACCCGUGAUGAUCAAAAGGUGGAUUUGGUUCAUGGAUCAGAUUUGCAAACCCGGGAAUCACACGAACGUCGCUGUAUCUUCUGGGAAAAUCUUCAACGUGCUUUUGUAAAAAUUCGUCUUCCAAUAGGAACAACGGAGUUCUUUUCAACGAUCGAUUACGUAACCACGUGCAUAACGUAAACUCAACAAUUGAUUACGUCAACACGACAAUCGAUUACAUCUGCCCAACAAUUGAUUACGUGUACGCAACAAAACUCAAAUGAUGACAAAAUUGUUCCCAGAGCAGACGACGAGGAUAUUCCCACGACACUUCCAGGAAGCCCUCACGUGACCUUGACGUAACGCGUUGAUUGGCUAUAGAAAAUGAAGACUGGCUGGAUGACACGUCUUGAAUCGUAUCUGGUGACAUCAUCGUCGGGAUAGGCAGAGAUCGACUCAUUCUGCACGGGUUUCAUCAUCAUCUCUUAUCAACAUCACGGAUCUCUGUAGCAUGGACCUUUGGAACAACUUCAAUGUUGCAUUCGCCAAGGACUUCGUCAAUGUGGCCUACUUAUAGUACUAGUAUACGGCUUACUUUCACCACACGUUUUUACCAACUUGAAAUUUCUGUCAGUCUGACAGCUCAGAUCAAAAUGCAAUUGUGAAUAUUAUGUCGAUGCAUAGAACCUUUGCACAACCUGGAAUUUUGAAAUAAUGCUAGUAAACAUCAUUUCAAGGUUAUAGUAUGUACUAGCUGGUUUGUAAGCUCAUUAUAUGUACCAGCUAAUUACUUCAUGAUAUAACGCACAAAUUGUCUUGAUGGCAUUUGGUCUUUGUGUAAGUGAAUGGAAUGCUAAGUGAGGUCAACUUUCAGUGACACGAAUUCUCAAGUCAAAACUUCCUGCAAUCAGGGCCCCAGGUUGUUCAAAGCCUGGUUAGUUUGGCGACCGCUAAGUUUUAGGGGGUGCUACUAACAAAUUUUUGGAGGUACUCUGAGGGACUGCCACUGGUGAUUGAUAGCGGUAUUCUGAUUUCUGUUUCAUGCACGAUUAGUUUGGGUACUUUCUAGGGGUAUACUACUUUUUGGCCGUAAUAGGCCAUUAAAUUGCGAUGUGUUUGAUAUUGUAAUGCUGUUUUCAUCUUCUUUAGAACCAAUACUUGUUUCAAUUGAACAUGAUACAUCCAACCGUGAAAGUUUAUGAACCAUACAUGUUGUUGAAGUAGUUCAAGGCUUGUUCAAGUAGAAAACUGUCAUAAAUUGACAGGCUAAAACUCCGUCAGUGUUCAGCUUUAGAGCUGUACACUUUAUCUCAACACAUGGUAUUGGUUUUAUUGCAGAAGAAAGCACAAUGACCUGAUGUGAUAUUUUGUAUAAUGUGCAUUGUGUUCGAUGUUGAUAUUGAAAUAUUGUAAAAAAAUAUCAUAUAUAAUUAUUGUUGUAAAGUGGUCAGUAAUGGAUUAAAAGAAGAAUAAAUCAA